AGUGAACGCUGGCGGUAGGCCUAACACAUGCAAGUCGAACGGCAGCACAGUAAGAGCUUGCUCUUACGGGUGGCGAGUGGCGGACGGGUGAGGAAUACAUCGGAAUCUACUUUUUCGUGGGGGAUAACGUAGGGAAACUUACGCUAAUACCGCAUACGACCUACGGGUGAAAGCAGGGGAUCUUCGGACCUUGCGCGAUUGAAUGAGCCGAUGUCGGAUUAGCUAGUUGGCGGGGUAAAGGCCCACCAAGGCGACGAUCCGUAGCUGGUCUGAGAGGAUGACCAGCCACACUGGAACUGAGACACGGUCCAGACUCCUACGGGAGGCAGCAGUGGGGAAUAUUUGACAAUGGGCGCAAGCCUGAUCCAGCCAUACCGCGUGGGUGAAGAAGGCCUUCGGGUUGUAAAGCCCUUUUGUUGGGAAAGAAAAGCAGCAGGUUAAUACCCCGCUGUUCUGACGGUACCCAAAGAAUAAGCACCGGCUAACUUCGUG
rnacentral:rRNA from 1 species